CCACACCACAUCCUCCUUGGUGUCCUUCUCAUUCUCAAAGGAGUCUGAGAGAUCUGAAUAAGGAGUACAUCAGCCAUCAAAGAAGGUCUUGGCAUGAGCUAGCACUCUCGAAAAGGCCGAUUUGAUUGGAGCUUCGAGUGGAUGUUCCGUAGAGGUCGGACAUCCUAUGUGGCUGUGAGGGACUAGGAUGAAUCCUUUACCAUGAUUUCUCAACAGUGGCGAUCAUUGAUCUAUGCUCAGG
rnacentral:lncRNA from 1 species